GAUGCAAGGGUUAAAAAGUCAUGCGUUUCAUGUUUACAUGAAAACGCAUGACUUUGGAACCCGUAAAAACAUGAGAAAGUAGUCCGCCAGGACGGAUUUCGAAUGUUUUCAGGAUUGCGGGAGCAUGAAAUGCGGAGCAAUCCGUAGCAUC
rnacentral:sRNA from 1 species